GACUGGAUUCAGGAACUCGCUGCCGAGCACGCUCGUCGAGUCUGUGCUGGAGAUUCUCCAGUCGAGUGCGCUCAGCCAAGUUGGCCAGGCGCACCUCCUCCAAGGCCCGGGCCUCGGGGGUUUCUCCAAUGAUAGGAGUGUGAAGUGCAUCCAUGUUACGGCGGCGAAGCUCUUCCCUCUGCUGUGAAGAGAGGGGCCCGGGGCGGUACUCCUCAAGUGCAUGCGACGGAUCGCCUCCGUCAUCACCACCAUCGUCGCGGGGGAAGCCAGGAGGACUGCGCGGUCCGUUGACCAUCAAGACUUCCACCGCAGGGUCACUGCUGUCGCACUCAGAUGCGGUCUCAACGGAGCCAGUCGAACAGGCCGUAGAGAGUUUCGUCGGGCUCGAUUGCCGCGACUUGAGGGGUGGCCGACUGGCGAGCCACCGCGUGCUUCACCCACCGCUGGAGCCUCGACCGACCGGAACGCUUGUGCCGGCGGGCUGCAGAGAGUGAAGACGCCACAUGAGCCGACCGAUACUGGGUCGACGGCUGCCGCAGGAGGACGCCGCGGACGCACGCGCGAAAGUGCGUUGCCCCGCGGACGGGGGGCGCCUCGACGUCGAGUGGAGCCUCUUGGAGCCAAGCGGAGUCGUCGGCGACGAACACGAGCGCGCCGAGACGGAUCUCGUGGCCCUCGGUCAAUCCUCCGCCUGAAACCAUGCUAAUGGGGAUCAGAAAAAUUGCAACUUCUCCAACAAGUCGCUAAAACACCUGCCCCAUGGUGGGCGCCAACUGUCGUGGUUCUAAGUCUAACUGUAGAAUGGGGGUAGGGAUGUAAAGGCAAGGUCCUAGCUAUGGAGAAGCUGUACGCAUGAGUUUUACGAGUUCAGGCCCUUCUCGGAGGAAGUAACAGCCCUACGUCUCGGAGCCCGGAGGCGGCCGACUGGAUCAUAUGCGUGUGUAUUACAGGGGGUCCGAACCCUUGGGCCAGUGGAGGGGAUGGCUUAUAUAGAGUGCGCCAGGACCCCAGCCAGCCCACGUUACAAGGAGUUCAAUGUUCAUAAAGAAGGAGCGUUACAGGUAACGUCUGUAGUAAAGUAAUAUAAAUGACUAUUAAGUCUAAGAGUAAAUGCCCGACCGUUGCUGCGCGGAGUGGCUUUAGGUCUUCUGCACGUCGAGUGGUUUAGUGGUCGAGUGACAUAAACAUGGGGGGUCGUCGAGUGAAUGGUAGGUCGAGUGGAUUGCAUUCGACACCUUUGUUGGGUCCCCUCUAUUUACUCCUGAACCUCUUUGCUUCUAGGACAAGGACCUUAGGUAGGAGGUAUAGGUCAGGCCUAUUACCCUACCCCAGGUCUAUGUCCUCAUCAGCUGUUGCUCCAUCUCCUAUUCGGAGGACUGCACAAUCUCCUCCUUGUUCAUCGGGGCGGCACCACACGAUCAGCCUCGAAAGGCUGAUCCACCGGCUGGCACCAAAAACCAGCUGCUCUACCCGGACUUGGUCAUCGUUGUUGUGUAGAGGGGAGGAGCGACAACGGUGGUGAGCGGAGAGGAGAGCAAUCGGGCGGCGGGGCGUGGAGAGGAAAUAAGAUGCGUUUUGGCUGAUGCCGGCGCGCUGCUUCAAUAGUCAAGGCAUGCGGAACGACAUCGCUUCAAUGUGGCACAACGGUUUGAGUAGGCUUCUCAGGCAGCGCGUUCGCAUUGAAGCGGCGCCGCCCUUCCGUCCGGUCAAGUUGCUCGGCAGCGGCUGCAUCAGUUGCAUCCGCUCUGGAAUGGCUGACUGACAUGAAUGUGUGACGAUGUUUCGAGAGCAGGAGGCGUGGCAAUGAGUUUUGGUGGGACCGCAUAGUCAGACGCGUACAUGGCAUGAGUCUAGACACCCGCAAACUUCCCCAGAUUUGAUGCCAGUUUACGGGAAUUCAGAUGCCACAGAUCAUAUGGCACUAUGUUGGAUGGCAAAAUUGGUGUGGACUUAGAGCAACUCCAACGCGCUGACCCAAACGGACGGCGAUUUCGUCCGCUUUUUGUCCGUUUGGGUCGGCCAGACGGACACGAAUGCCCGCUUCCGCAUUUGGGUCAGCGCGUGCGCCCAACGCUGGCCUGAGACCCAUUUUGACGGCGCCAAAAAAAAUGAACGCAUGCAUAUUAAAAAAAGAGAAACAGCAUUAAUUAAACAUUAAAGCCGGCCACGAAGGCCGGCGAGAGUCCACGCGUCCACAUUUGCAUUUAAAAAAACAGCCUAAACUACGAGGCGGCGCGCUGCCCUAGGCGUCGUCGUCAUCGUCCUCGGGGUCCGUGAGGUCGAUGAGCAUCGGCGCCGGCCCAGCCCAGGCGAACGCCGUGUUCCAGAGCGCCAUCAUGUCGGGCUGUGCCGGCGCAGGCAGUGCCGGGGCGGGGGGGGGGGUGUGCGGCCGCCUGUGCAGCCGCGGCCUGGCGCGCCUCCUCCUCGGCCUCGCGCUGCUCCUCCUCGAGGUCGCGCUCGAGCAUCUCCUCGUACUCGCCGCGACGGCGCUCCUCUGCCAGCCGGCGCUAGCGCCACAUCUCAAGGUACGCCUGCUCCUGCGCCGGCGUCGUCCCCAGCCAAACCGGUGGCGCGGACACCCACUCGUGCACCACUCCCCUCCAGGGGAAGAGCGCGAUGGGCUCGGGCUCCGGCUGCGGCUCCGGCUUGAUGGGGGACGGCGGGGCCACCGGCGGCACCACGCUGUCGCCCGCCGCGGAGAGGGCAAGGGCCUGCGCCAUUACCGCCUCGUACCGGGCCUCCUCUUCCGCCUCCGCCGCCUCUGCUCUGCGCCGCUCGUCCUCCUUCGCUCUCCCGGUAGACGGCCGCAAGGGCCGCCUGGUAGGCGUCCUCCACCGCCUGGUCCUCCUUGCGGACGACGAGCGGCGUUGGCUGUUGGGGAACGUAGUAAUUUCAAAAAAAAUCCUACACACACGCAAGAUCAUGGUGAUGCAUAGCAACGAGAGGGGAGAGUGUUUUCCACGUACCCUCGUAGACCGAAAGCGGAAGCGUUAGCACAACGCGGUUGAUGUAGUCGUAUGUCUUCAGGAUCCGACCGAUCAAGUACCGAACGCACGGCACCUCCGAGUUCAGCACACGUUCAGCCCGAUGACGUCCCUCGAACUCCGAUCCAGCCGAGUGUUGAGGGAGAGUUUCGUCAGCACGACGGCGUGGUGACGAUGAUGAUGUUCUACCGACGCAGGGCUUCGCCUAAGCACCGCUACAGUAUUAUCGAGGUGGACUAUGGUGGAGGGGGGCACCGCACACGGCUAAAAGAUUAAACGAUCAAUUGUUGUGUCUAGGGUGCCCCCUGCCCCUGUAUAUAAAGGAGCAAGGGGGAGGUGCGGCCGGCCAGGAGGAGGCACGCCAGGAGGAGUCCUACUCCCACCGGGAGUAGGACUCCCUCCCUUCCUUGUUGGACUAGGAGAGGAGAGGGAAGGAGAGAGGGGGAAAGGAAAGGGGGGCGCCGCCCCCCUCCUUGUCCAAUUCGGACUUGGGGGGGAGGGGCGCGUGGCUGCCCCUUGGCCGCCUCUUCUCUUCCACCAAUUGGGCCCAUGAGACCCAAUAGCCUCCGGGGGGUUCCGGUAACCCCCCGGUACUCCGGUAUUUAUCCGAUAACCCCCGGAACCAUUCCGGUGUCCGAAUAUAGUCAUCCAAUAUAUCAAUCUUCAUGUCUCGACCAUUUCGAGACUCCUCGUCAUGUCUGUGAUCACAUCCGGGACUCCGAACAACCUUUCGUACAUCAAAACAUAUAAACUCAUAAUAUAACUGUCAUCGAAACGUUAAGCGUGCGGACCCUACGGGUUCGAGAACUAUGUAGACAUGACCGAGACACGUCUCCGGUCAAUAACCAAUAGCGGAACCUGGAUGCUCAUAUUGGCUCCAAAAUAUUCUACGAAGAUCUUUAUCGGUCAGACCGCAUAACAACAUACGUUGUUCCCUUUGUCAUCGGUAUGUUACUUGCCCGGGAUUCGAUCGUCGGUAUCUCAAUACCUAGUUCAAUCUCGUUACCGGCAAGUCUGUUUACUCGUUCCGUAAUACAUCAUCCCACAACUAACUCAUUAGUUGCAAUGCUUGCAAGGCUUAAGUGAUGUGCAUUACCGAGAGGGCCCAGAGAUACCUCUCCGACAAUCGGAGUGACAAAUCCUAAUCUCGAAAUACGCCAACCCAACAAGUACCUUUGGAGACACCUGUAGAGCACCUUUAUAAUCACCCAGUUACGUUGUGACAUUUGGUAGCACACAAAGUGUUCCUCCGGUAAACAGGAGUUGCAUAAUCUCAUAGUCAUAGGAACAUGUAUAAGUCAUGAAGAAAGCAAUAGCAACAUACUAAAGAUCGAGUGCUAAGCUAACGGAAUGGGUCAAGUCAAUCACAUCAUUCUCCUAAUGAUGUGAUCCAAUUAAUCAAAUGACAACUCAUGUCUAUGGCUAGGAAACAUAACUAUCUUUGAUCAAUGAGCUAGUCAAGUAGAGGCAUACUAGUGACACUCUGUUUGUCUAUGUAUUCACACAAGUAUUAUGUUUCCGGUUAAUACAAUUCUAGCAUGAAUAAUAAACAUUUAUCAUGAUAUAAGGAAAUAAAUAAUAACUUUAUUAUUGCCUCUAGGGCAUAUUUCCUUCAGUCUCCCACUUGCACUAGAGUCAAUAAUCUAGAUUACACAGUAAUGAUUCUAACACCCAUGGAGCCUUGGUGCUGAUCAUGUUUUGCUCGUGGAAGAGGCUUAGUCAACGGGUCUGCAACAUUCAGAUCCAUAUGUAUCUUGCAAAUUUCUAUGUCUCCCACCUGGACCAAAUCCCGGAUGGAAUUGAAGCGUCUCUUGAUGUGCUUGGUUCUCUUGUGAACUCUGGAUUCCUUCGCCAAGGCAAUUGCACCAGUAUUGUCACAAAAGAUUUUCAUUGGACCCGAUGCACUAGGUAUGACACCUAGAUCGGAUAUGAACUCCUUCAUCUAGACUCCUUCAUUUGUUGCUUCCGAAGCAGCUAUGUACUCCGCUUCACAUGUAGAUCCCGCCACGACGCUUUGUUUAGAACUGCACCAACUGACAGCUCCACCGUUCAAUGUAAACACGUAUCCGGUUUGCGAUUUAGAAUCGUCCGGAUCAGUGUCAAAGCUUGUAUCAACGUAACCAUUUACGAUGAGCUCUUUGUCACCUCCAUAAACGAGAAACAUAUCCUUAGUCCUUUUCAGGUAUUUCAGGAUGUUCUUGACUGCUGUCCAGUGAUCCACUCCUGGAUUACUUUGGUACCUCCCUGCUAGACUUAUAGCAAGGCACACAUCAGGUCUAGUACACAGCAUUGCAUACAUGAUAGAGCCUAUGGCUGAAGCAUAGGGAACAUCUUUCAUUUUCUCUCUAUCUUCUGAAGUGGUCAGGCAUUGAGUCUUACUCAACUUCAGACCUUGUAACAUAGGCAAGAACCCUUUCUUUGCUUGAUCCAUUUUGAACUUCUUCAAAACUUUGUCAAGGUAUGUGCUUUGUGAAAGUCCAAUUAAGCGUCUUGCUCUAUCUCUAUAGAUCUUAAUGCCCAAUAUAUACGCAGCUUCACCGAGGUCUUCCAUUGAAAAACUCUUAUUCAAGUAUCCCUUUAUGCUAUUCAGAAAUUAUAUAUCAUUUCCAAUCAGCAAUAUGUCAUCCACAUAUAAUAUUAGAAAUGCUACAGAGCUCCCACUUACUUUCUUGUAAAUACAGGCUUCUCCCAAAGUCUGUACAAAUCCAAAUGCUUUGAUCACACUAUCAAAGCGUUUAUUCCAACUCCGAGAGGCGUGCACCAGUCCAUAAAUGGAUAGCUGGAGCUUGCACACUUUGUUAGCUCCCUUUGGAUUGACAAAACCUUCCAGUUGCAUUUGCCAAAUUCCAUUCAGGAAUGCAGUUUUGACAUCCAUUUGCCAAAUUUCAUAAUCAUAAAAUGCGGCAAUUGCUAACAUGAUUCGAACAGACUUAAGCAUCGCUACGGGUGAGAAGGUCUCAUCGUAGUCAAUCCCUUGAACUUGUCGAAAACCUUUUGCAACAAGUCAAUCUUUAUAGACAGUAACAUUACCGUCAGCGUCAGUCUUCUUCUUGAAGAUCCAUUUAUUCUCAAUGGCUUGCCGAUCAUCGGGCAAGUCAACCAAAGUCCACACUUUGUUCUCAUACAUGGAUCCCAUCUCAGAUUUCAUGGCCUCAAGCCAUUUUGCGGAAUCUGGGCUCCCCAUCGCUUCUUCAUAGUUCAUAGGUUCGUCAUGGUCAAGUAACAUAACCUCCAGAACAGGAUUACCGUACCACUCUGGUGCGGAUCUUACUCUGGUUGACCUACGAGGUUCAGUAACAACUUGAUCUGAAGUUCCAUGAUCAUCAUCAUUAACUUCCUCACUAAAUUGUGUAGGCAUCGCAGAAACCGGUUUCCUGCGAUGAACUACUUUCCAAUAAGGGAGCAGGUACAAUUACCUCAUCAAGUUCUACUUUCCUCCCACUCACUUCUUUCGAGAGAAACUCCUUCUCCAGAAAGAUUCGAAUUUAGCAACAGAAGUCUUGCCUCCGGAUCUGUGAUAGAAGGUGUACCCAACAGUCUCCUUUGGGUAUCCUAUGAAGACACAUUUCUCCGAUUUGGGUUCGAGCUUAUCAGGUUGAAGUUUUUUCACAUAAGCAUUGCAGCCCCAAACUUUAACAAACGACAACUUUGGUUUCUUGCCAAACCACAGUUCAUAAGGCGUCAUCUCAACGGAUUUUGAUGGUGCCCUAUUUAACGUGAAUGCGGCCGUCUCUAAAGCAUAACCCCAAAACGAUAGCGGUAAAUCAGUAAGAGACAUCAUAGAUCGCACCAUAUCUAGUAGAGUACGAUUACGACGUUCGGACACACCAUUACGCUGUGGUGUUCCGGGUGGCGUGAGUUGCGAAACUAUUCCGCAUUGUUUCAAAUGAAGACCAAACUCAUAGCUCAAAUAUUCUCCUCCACGAUCAGAUCGUAGAAACUUUAUUUUCUUGUUACAAUGAUUUUCAACUUCACUCUGAAAUUCUUUGAACUUUUCAAAUGUUUCAGACUUAUGUUUCAUUAAGUAGAUAUACCCAUAUCUGCUUAAAUCAUCUGUGAAGGUGAGAAAAUAACGAUAUCCGCCACGAGCCUCAACAUUCAUCGGACCACAUACAUCUGUAUGUAUGAUUUCCAACAAAUCUGUUGCUCUCUCCAUAGUUCCGGAGAACAGCGUUUUAGUCAUCUUGCCCAUGAGGCACGGUUCGCAAGUACCAAGUGAUUCAUAAUCAAGUGGUUCCAAAAGUACAUCAGUAUGGAGUUUCUUCAUGCGCUUUACACCGAUAUGACCUAAACGGCAGUGCCACAAAUAAGUUGCACUAUCAUUAUCAACUCUGCAUCUUUUGGCUUCAAUACUAUGAAUAUGUGUAUCACUACUAUCGAGAUUCAACAAAAAUAGACCACUCUUCACCGGUGCAUGACCAUAAAAGAUAUUAUUCAUAUAAAUAGAACAACCAUUAUUCUCUGAUUUAAAUGAAUAACCGUCUCGCAUCAAACAAGAUCCAGAUAUAAUGUUCAUGCUUAACGCUGGCACCAAAUAACAAUUAUUUAGGUCUGAAACUAAUCCCGAAGGUAGAUGUAGAGGUAGCGUGCCGACCGCGAUUACAUCGACUUUGGAACCAUUUCCCACGCGCAUCGUCACCUCGUCCUUAGCCAAUCUUCGCAUAAUCCGUAGCCCCUAUUUCGAGUUGCAAAUAUUAGCAACAGAACCAGUAUCAAAUACCCAGGUGCUACUGCGAGCAUUAGUAAGGUACACAUCAAUAACAUGUAUAUCACAUAUACCUUUGUUCACCUUGCCAUCCUUCUUAUCCGCCAAAUACUUGGGGCAGUUCCGCUUCCAGUGACCAGUCUGCUUGUAGUAGAAGCACUCAGUCUCAGGCUUAGGUCCAGACUUGGGUUUCUUCUCCUGAACAGCAACUUGCUUGAUGUUCUUCUUGAAGUUCCCCUUCUUCUUCCCUUUGCCCUUUUUCUUGAAACUGGUGGUCUUAUUGACCAUCAAUACUUGAUGCUCCUUUUUGAUUUCUACCUCCGCAGCCUUUAGCAUUGCGAAGAGCUCGGGAAUCGCCUUAUCCAUCCCUUGCAUGUUAUAGUUCAUCACGAAGCUCUUGUAGCUUGGUGGCAGUGAUUGGAGAAUUCUAUCAAUGACGCUAUCAUCCGGAAGAUUAACUCCCAGUUGAAUCAAGUGAUUAUUAUACCCAGACAUUUUGAGUAUAUGCUCACUGACAGGACUAUUCUCCUCCAUCUUGCAGCUGUAGAACUUAUUGGAGACUUCAUAUCUCUCAAUUCGGGCAUUUGCUUGAAAUAUUAACUUCAACUCCUGGAACAUCUCAUAUGCUCCAUGACGUUCAAAAUGUCGUUGAAGUCCCGGUUCUAAGCCGUAAAGCAUGGCACGUUGAACUAUCGAGUAGUCAUCAGCUUUGCUCUGCCAGACGUUCUUAACGUCGUCAGUUGCAUCAGCAGCAGGCCUGGCACCCAGCGGUGCUUCCAGGACAUAAUUCUUCUGUGCAGCAAUGAGGAUAAUCCUCAAGUUACGGACCCAGUCCGUGUAAUUGCUACAAUCAUCUUUCAACUUUUCUUUCUCAAGAAACGCAUUAAAAUUCAACGGAACAACAGCACGGGCCAUCUAUCUACAAUCAACAUAGACAAGCAAGAUACUAUCAGGUACUAAGUUCAUGAUAAAUUUCAGUUCAAUUAAUCAUAUUACUUAAGAACUCCCACUUAGAUAGACAUCCCUCUAAUCCUCUAAGUGAUCACGUGAUCCAUAUCAACUAAACCAUGUCCGAUCAUCACGUGAGAUGGAGUAGUUUCAACGGUGAACAUCACUAUGUUGAUCAUAUCUACUAUAUGAUUCACGCUCGACCUUUCGGUCUCUGUGUUCCGAGGCCACAUCUGUUAUAUGCUAGGCUCGUCAAGCUUAACCUGAGUAUUCCGCGUGUGCAAAUGUUUUGCACCCGUUGUAUUUGAACGUAGAGCCUAUCACACCCGAUCAUCACGUGGUGUCUCAGCACGAAGAACUUUCGCAACGGUGCAUACUCAGGGCGAACACUUAUACUUUGAUAAUUUAGUGAGGGAUCAUCUUAUAAUGCUACCAUCAAUCAAAGCAAGAUAAGAUGUAUAAAAGAUAAACAUCACAUGCAAUCAAUAUAAGUGAUAUGAUAUGGCCAUCAUCAUCUUGUGCUUGUAAUCUGCAUCUCCGAAGCACCGUCAUGAUCACCAUCGUCACCGGCGCGACACCUUGAACUUUAUCGUAGCAUCGUUGUCGUCUCGCCAAUCUUAUGCUUCUACGACUAUCGCUACCGCUUAGUAAUAAAGUAAAGCAUUACAGGGCGAUUGCAUUGCAUACAAUAAAGCGACAACCAUAUGGCUCCUGCCAGUUGCCGAUAACUCGGUUACAAAACAUGAUCAUCUCAUACAAUAGAAUUUAGCAUCAUGUCUUGACCAUAUCACAUCACAACAUGCCCUGCAAAAACAAGUUAGACGUCCUCUACUUUGUUGUUGCAAAUUUUACGUGGCUGCUACGGGCUUAGCAAGAACCGUUCUUACCUACGCAUCAAAACCACAAUGAUAGUUUGUCAAGUUGGUGCUGUUUUAACCUUCGCAAGGACCGGGCGUAGCCACACUCGGUUCAACUAAAGUUGGAGAAACUGACACCCGCCAGCCACCUGUGUGCAAAGCACGUCGGUAGAACCAGUCUCGCGUAAGCGUACACGUAAUGUCGGUCCGGGCCGCUUCAUCCAACAAUACCGCCGAACCAAAGUAUGACAUGCCGGUAAGCAGUAUGACUUAUAUCGCCCACAACUCACUUGUGUUCUACUCGUGCAUAUAACAUCAACGCAUAAACCUGGCUCGGAUGCCACUGUUGGGGAACGUAGUAAUUUCAAAAAAAUUCCUAUGCACCCGCAAGAUCAUGGUGAUGCAUAGCAACGAGAGGGGAGAGUGUUGUCCACGUACCCUCGUAGACCGAAAGCGGAAGCGUUAGCACAACGUGGUUGAUGUAGUCGUACGUCUUCACGAUCCGACCGAUCAAGUAUCGAACGCACGGCACCUCCGAGUUCAGCACACGUUCAGCCCGAUGACGUCCCUCGAACUCCGAUCCAGCCGAGUGUUGAGGGUGAGUUUCGUCAGCACGACGGCGUGGUGACGAUGAUGAUGUUCUACCAACGCAGGGCUUUGCCUAAGCACCGCUACAGUAUUAUCGAGGUGGACUAUGAUGGAGGGGGGCACCGCACACGGCUAAAAGAUCAAACGAUCAAUUGUUGUGUCUAGGGUGCCCCCUGCCCCCGUAUAUAAAGGAGCAAGGGGGGAGGUGUAGCCGGCCAGGAGGAGGCGCGCCAGGAGGAGUCCUACUCCCACCGGGAGUAGGACUCCCUCCCUUGUUGGACUAGGAGAAGAGAUGGAAGGAGAGAGGGGGAAAGGAAAGGGGGGGCGCCGCCCCCCUCCUUGUCCAAUUCGGACUUGGGGGGAGGGGCGCGCGGCUGCCCCUUGGCCACCCCGUCGCCUCGCCUCCUCGUGCUCGAAGGCGAACCACCUCGCCCAGUUGGGCGAGUCGGUUGCGUAGGCCUUGUCGAGGCGCUGCUCCGGCGUCAGCAGCGCCCGCCGACGCCGCACCUCCUCCGCGUGAGCACGAGCCGUCCGCGGCGCCGCCGGCACUGGGAUCCUAUCUGGAUCCAGAUGCCAGUCAUGCGGCAGCGUCACGCCCGGAUACGACAGAGGCUGGCGGUUCUGCCAGUGCUACUCCGCCUGGUGCACUGGCACGUUCACGCGCUGCCUCUGCCAGCGAGGCGCCGACGGAGGUGGGAGGAACUCUGAGGGGAAAGGGGUGGCGGGGGACUUGCCCUUGGCCUUGCUGCCGCUGGCGCUGGAGAAGAGGCCCAUCUCGCUGUGGUUGUGGUGGCUAGGGUUUGCCGGCGACGAGGGAGCAAAGGUGGGCAGAUGUGGACGCCGAGUUUGGAUGAGGAUGGCCCCGUCGCACGGUCGGCUUAAAAAAGGACGAGCGCCGUCGCUGACCCGUGGGCCCGUCGUCAUAAAUUAAGCUGACCGCAUGGGCAGCGACUAGUUGGACGGCCGCCAUGUGGGGACGCGGUGGACAGUGAGAAGGCGCGCGAAGCGUCCGUUCGGCGUCCGCGCCGACGCAGUUGGGGCGCAAAUUUGGGCCGCAAAUGCGUCGGCGCGGACGCGACGCGGACGUGAUUUGGGUUUGGGUCGGCGCGUUGGGUCGCCACUUUUGUCCGCACCGACCCAAACGGACGCAGACGGAUAAAAUGGGUCGGCCCUUUGUAGCUGCUCUUACCAUGGUCCGAAGCUUUGACCCGGAGGAAUGCUGAAGCCAACGUCUGAGGGGACAUGCAGUGCACGACGUGUGGAGUGGAUCACGAGAAAGGUGCAGCUAUAGCUAAGCCUAGCUAGCUACCAGAAAAUCUGGACGGGACAUCAUGGCACGCCCCAGGCGGAUCUCUUCUUGAUGUGAUGGUUUCUGCCCAUGGAUCCAUGAUGAAAAUUGUUUGUGUGUAUAGUAGAUUACAUGCCGUCACGUAGUAGACUGUUGGUAGAUUUGGUGGUUGGAGUUUUUCACUUCUUUUUUCUACACGUACAGAAACGAGAGUUAAAAUAGGGUGUCUCAUCUACACGUACAGAACUGGACAGUGGACUGCGAGACAAAGUAGACCAAAAAUUUAAGAUGGGGGAUCCGUUCCAGUACGACCACACCACUUGAUAGUACGUGUUUGAUGCCUUGUUACUUGAUUAGGCCAUGCACGCCUUGUACUUUCAGGGCUGCGCAAUUGGAUCCUACCUUGCACAAAAUGAUUGGUUCUAUAAACGUCUGUAAUCCUACACUACAGUGACAUAACUCAGAGAGAGAGAGAGAGAGACGCAUGCAUGUUUCUCAUGGCUCACGCACAAGGUUGCAGCCUUGUCCUAGCGGCCGGUAUACAACAAAGAUGCCUCCCUCCACCGCUUUACUUUUUGCGUGGGCAGGAACGACAAACAUCACAUCACAUUGCUAACGGUUGAGUAACGUGAUUGUAUUAGGAAACAUAGGUAGACUAGGAAAUAUUCUGGCUUGUCUUGUAUUCCAAAUAGAUCAUGCACUCCUAUAUAUAGGGAAGAUAUCUGAUGCUCCGGAAGCUUCUCAACCGUUGGAUCUAUAAUCUGGAGGUCAUCUAGGGAUGCGCUGGAUCUGGUUGUAAUAACAAACUUCUAGGUGUGUUUUUUGAAUAAAUGCGCGAGCUCUCUCUAUGGCCUUUGGAUUUUAGAUCCAACGGCAGAGAAGCUCCCGGAGCACCUAAGUUUAGGUGCUCCCGGAGCACCAGAUAUCUUCCCCUAUAUAUAUGCCCACGAGGCUCAAGCAAUACAACGAACUAUUCUACCAAUCCUGUCUUGCCCUUCUAACAUGGUAUCUAUUGCAAGUCGAUCCUAAACCCUAGCCGCCGCCGCUUCCGCACCCACGCGCCGCACCCGGGGCGGUCGGCCUCCAUGACCGCCGCCAGGGGCCGCGCCGCCUGUACCUAGGGUUCGUCCGCCGGUCGUGUUGACUGGCUGCCCUAGAGAGUAUUUUCCCCGAGCCUUGCUCCGGGGUUUUCUCUCUCCCGCCGGUCAUCUUGAUCGUGCGGUUUCUUUCUGGUUUUCCGAUCUAUUCUUGAUCGGUUUGCGUCACCCACCGCAGCCGUCGACCCCGAGCGCCUCUACUCCGACCCCGGCGCAACCAGCUGGCCUCUCCUCCUAUCCGACGCCAGCGCGCGCCGAGGCGGCCCGUCAGGGCCAACCGUCGUCCGCGCGUCGGUCCGCCCGUCGCCCUGCGCCGGCCGUCACCGCCCUGCUCCGACCGGGACACCUGCAUCGCCCCGACCCGGCAGCCUCGCGCCAUGCGACGGCCAAUCGUAGCCGUCGCUUGCGCGCCGGCCCGCCCAUCGAUCCACAUCACCCGCCGCGUCUACACGGCGGCCCGGCGGUCUACCUCGUCGGCCUCAUCCACGGCUGCGUCGGGACGGCUGCGUCAGGCUCAUCGGCUGCCUCAACUCGGGCGCCGCUGCUCCGUUGGUCGCUCGGGCCUGGCUGCCUGGGCGUCGGCGUUGCUUUGGCAGCCCGGGUGCCGGUGCUGACAAACUCGUCUGCACGACGUCCCACGCCGUCUGUCGUUCCCGGCUUCAUCUCGGACUCCGCCGCCACCACGCCUUCACCGAGCGGCGUCCCCGACCUCGCGCGCGAUCGGCUUGAUCACCCGCUCGCCACCGCGAUCCGCCUCAUCUACGCCGCGCGACCGACCUGGCCCGUCGGUUACGCGCGCCUCAACAGGUCCCGUGAAGACCGUCCCCGAGUUCAGCGCGCCUCUCCAUCGAUCGAGCAUCAGGCUGUCGCUGCAUCGCCCCGUGGUUCUCCUCGCGAUUGCAUCGACUCGUGCGUCACCGCUGCGUCGCCUCUUCGGGCCGUAGUGUCGCGAUACGCGGUCCCCGCCGCCGCCCCGAGGCCGUCCCCGCGGUUGCACCGACUCGCGAACCGUCGUUGUGUCGCCCCUUCGGGCCGCAGCGUCGCGGCCCGUGGUCCCCGCCGCCGCCCCGAGGUCUUNNNNNNNNNNNNNNNNNNNNNNNNNNNNNNNNNNNNNNNNNNNNNNNNNNNNNNNNNNNNNNNNNNNNNNNNNNNNNNNNNNNNNNNNNNNNNNNNNNNNNNNNNNNNNNNNNNNNNNNNNNNNNNNNNNNNNNNNNNNNNNNNNNNNNNNNNNNNNNNNNNNNNNNNNNNNNNNNNNNNNNNNNNNNNNNNNNNNNNNNNNNNNNNNNNNNNNNNNNNNNNNNNNNNNNNNNNNNNNNNNNNNNNNNNNNNNNNNNNNNNNNNNNNNNNNNNNNNNNNNNNNNNNNNNNNNNNNNNNNNNNNNNNNNNNNNNNNNNNNNNNNNNNNNNNNNNNNNNNNNNNNNNNNNNNNNNNNNNNNNNNNNNNNNNNNNNNNNNNNNNNNNNNNNNNNNNNNNNNNNNNNNNNNNNNNNNNNNNNNNNNNNNNNNNNNNNNNNNNNNNNNNNNNNNNNNNNNNNNNNNNNNNNNNNNNNNNNNNNNNNNNNNNNNNNNNNNNNNNNNNNNNNNNNNNNNNNNNNNNNNNNNNNNNNNNNNNNNNNNNNNNNNNNNNNNNNNNNNNNNNNNNNNNNNNNCCGUAGCACCGCGGCCCGCGGUCCGCUCCGCCGUCACCGCGCGUCGAGCUCUCGUGGUAUGCGCCGCGCCGUCUUCCUUGGCGCAGGAACGCCACCGUCCGCGCCGGUCUUCAUCACGCUGUCAGGGUUCUUCACCUACUUCGAGCACUGCUGCCGCCCGUCCACCCCCUUCGUCUUCGUCCAAGCACCAGCCCGUCGCCAGCGUCGCCGUCAUCUACCCCGACCACUUCGUCUACUCCGACCACCGUUGGUGACAUCGGCCCCGCGCCGAUGGACGCCGCAAUCGUCGUCGAGUUCUUCUCUGCUGGCCCCUCCGACUUCUCCGACAUGGCGUACAGCUCGUGCAGGUCCCUCGUCUACGCAUGCUCGGUGCUGGCAACUUCGAUGCGUGCCUUCAUCCACGACGUGUCCCCGGGCCUGGCAAGCAUUGUCGGCGCUUCGUCAACUUCGUCUUCGACCGUCUACGCAUGCCCGGUGCUGGCAACACCAGAGCGUGCCUUCGUCUACGACGUGUCCCUGGGUUUGGCACACCCGACGCGACGCAUCGUCAACAUCAUUUUCUCCCCAGCGCACCACUACUUCGACACCACUGCGCCCAUGCCUAACUCAGCGCCCCCUUGCGCCCGCGGCUCCACGGCGACUUCCUCGACACCGGCCACCCCGACUCGACAUCGACAACGACAUUCUUCACACGGCUACCUCGACCAUGGCUCCACCACCCACGCUCUUGGCUACAUCGACAAACGGCAUAAAGGGCUACCGCCUGCUUGAGCAACCUCGUUGGUUUCCACUCCAGCCACGACUCCGCGAUGCAUCGACUGUUACGACUGUGGGGGGGUGUCCGUCGACUUGCCUUUGGAUUCUUCUCCAGUCUCACCAUCUGCGUCGCUACCGUUGUGACUGCGGGGGGAUGUUGAGUAACGUGAUUGUAUUAGGAAAUAUAGGUUAGACUAGGAAAUAUUCUGGCUUGCCUUGUACUCCAAGUAGAUCAUGUACUCCUAUAUAUAUGCCCACGAGGCUCAAGCAAUACAAUGAACUAUUCUACCAAUCCUCUCUUUCCCUUCUAAUACUAACCAAGUUUAGCUCAAACUAAUGCUACUUUAAAGGUACUCCCUCCGUCCCAAGUGUCAAAAAAAAGUUUUACAUUAUGGGAUGGAGGGAGUAGUUGUUUUGAGUGUAUUUUAGGUUUAGUUCAUCAUUUUUGUCAAAAUUUCGGCCAUGUAUCAUGAUUUGUUUUUUUAGUGGGAUAUCACGAUUUGGUUUGAUAUAUAGAUGCAAGUCCCCUCCAUUUGGGAGAAAUGGAUUGUUAGAUGCAAAUCAGUUUGAUAGAGAUGUAUGCAUAUUUCUCUGUUUAUUGAAAGACCGAUAUGCAAAUCAGUUUCUCGUGGCUCGCAUGCACACAUACUCUUCUUUUCUUUUUUUUUGCACACACAGAGGGGUCUGAUCGCCUGCAAUUGUCGCAGCUCACUUUGCAUCGGCCCCCAAGCUCAAACCAAGAAGGUACAGGAGAUGAGAUGAGAGGGUUAAAGGCACGGCGUGUGAUUGGUGGGAACUGGCACUGCCACCGGCCGGCACCGCUUUGCAUGCAGCACGGCCUGAUCCACACUACCACAGAUUCGCCAGCAGCACCUCGAUCUCGGUGCCAUGAUCAGUUGCAGUUUGCAGGUGGGCAUCUCCCUCGACGACCACGCACGCCCACGCAGAAUUCGUAAAUCCUACUACUCCAGGACUAGGACUCUAUGCCGUGCCAUGAAUCCAUGAUCACCGACGAUGCACCAACGGCAUGUGGAGGGAUCAAGCAGUGACACGUAAGUUUAUUUAUUUAUUGAGGGAGCAGUAGCACAUUCGGAUUUCGUCUGUUUGGGUUGGCAAAACGGACGCCUAUGUCCGGUCUGGGCCAGCCGCCGGUCUAUGCACCCAACGCGCAGCCGCAUCCCAAACAUUGUCCAUGUUGGUAAAAAAAAUUUCCAAAAAAGGCAUUGCAACUUUAAAAAAACAAAGGCUUUGAAAAAUCAUAAAACACAAUAUAUAAAAAACUUUAAACAGUCCACGUCUUGGUCACUGCCCGCACAUAGUACUUAAGUUUAAAUUAAAAAAACAUAAACACCGUAGAUCUGCCGCCAGCCCGCGCCGUCAACGCUGUCGCCGUCUUCAAGCGCCACAAUCCUCGUCGUCAUCAUUCUUGGUCAGGUCGAUGUAGGGAGGCGGCGUCCAGAGGUGGGGCGGUAGCCCCCAAAAUGGCCCGACGUCCUGUGCAAGCUGCGGUGGUGGAGGUGGUGGUGGUCACCACGGCGCCCACGCCGCCCGCGGUGCUGGUUGCGGCGACGACGGCGAGGCUGCAUGGCACCGUGGUUGUCCAUGGCCAUGAUUGCCCUACAGCGCCUCGCUCCACACCGGGGUGGGGGGCCGGUCCUCCAUGGCCUCCUCCUUCACGUCCUGCUUGACGACCAGCUCCGGCACGUAGACGUCCCCGGUGGCCGAGAGCGCCAGCAUCUCCUGCAGAGCCACCCACUGCGCCUCCUGGCUCCGCUUGUACUCCCUCUCGGAGUCCUCCAUGACGGCCCACACCAGCCGCUCCUCCUCCUUGUCCGUCAUGGUAAAAGCUACUGGUGGCGAUGAUGACAGGGAGGGAGAGGGCGUCGGUGUCAGGCCGCACACACCAGUCCGACCGCGCACCCUGGGUGGGCUCGGCGCGCACACGCGCGAUGCGCCGGGCGGGCCACGAGCACGGCCGGCAAAGUAGGUUUGCCGGCGCAUGUCGUGCUCGUCCUGGAACCAAGUGUCCCAGAGCAGCGAGUCGACGUCGUAGCGCCGGUCGGCAAGUUACUGGCGCGGGAUGUGGGCGCACCGGCGGGUGAUUUCCUACAGGUGUGUGUGGCCACUCGCCGUCACGGGGGGAUCGGCACCCGAUCUGGGCUCAGAUGCCACCCAUUGGGGAGGUGGGCAUUAGACCACGGCAACGGGGUACCUGUUGCCAGUACUAAUGGCAGACGUCCACCUUGACGUACGGCCGGAAGCGCACCGGAGCUGCCAGAGGGGAGAUCGAGAAUGCGGCCGACGAGAUGGAGUGGGUGGUCGCGCUUCCCGACGAGGCAGACGAUGAGCCUACCUCCUGGUCGUGAUUGCCCUUGUUGCCCAGCACCCACUUCCAGAAGCCCAUUUGCGACGGCUGGCGGUGUGCGAGGUGGGGCGGCGCGGCUAGGGUUUGGUGUCGGGCGCGGAGGGAGCAACGGAAUGUGGACAGUGUGGGGAAGUGAAAGUGGACUGGCCCGUCCACGGCUUCACCAUAAAAAAGGACGCGACCGUGGGCGGCUGGGUGGCUGACCGGCGGGCCCGUCCACUCGUGUCGAUUAAAUGGGGGCGAUGGGAGAUAGUUGGACGGCCGACAUGCGGGCCCGGGGCGGACGGCGAGAGGAAGCGUGCGCGUCCGUUCUAUGUCCGUUUGACCGCAGAGCCAGAUCAAAUUUGCACCCAAGAUGGGUCGAGACGAAUCAGAAACAAAUUUUUUCUAGAGCAACUCCGACGGGCUGACCCAAACGGACGGCGCAUUUGUCCGCUUUUUGUCCGUUUGGGUCGGCCGCCCGCCCGUCGUCCGCCCAGGUUUUCAUUUGGGUCGGCAGUGCGCCCAACGCGCCGACCCAUUUCAUGACCGCGCGCGCUGUAGAUCAUGCCAGCGGCCAUGUCGUCGCCCUGGUUUUGGCGCUCCAGCGCGCGGGAAAGGUUCGCGCGCGCCGGCAAAAAUCGGGCUAGCGCGCGCUGGUUGUGGCGCUCCAGCGCGCGGGAAAGGUUCGCGCGCACGCCGCGGCCGGCGCUCGUUAUAAGAAGGCGCUCCCUCGCCGCCCACUCGUCUCGCCCCCUCUCACUAGCCUCCCCGCCUCUGCGCCAGCAUGUCGAUUCGCCGCCUGGGCGCUUCGGAUUUUCGCGGAGUCCGCGAGCGCCGCUCCGGCGCAUUCCCCUCCGAGAUCUGUUUUGGCGAGAAACGCCUCAUCCUUGGCACCUUCGACACCGCAGAGGAGGCGGCCUGCGCGCACGACGCGGCAGCCUGGCGCCUCUUGAGGCCUCGUGGGGAGAUGAAUUUUCCCGACGUGUCGAGCCAGCGGGCGCAGGAUCUAGCGCCUCUCCCGCGGCUUUUCACCGACGAGGUCGUCGUGUCCACCGGAGGCGGCAGCGUCACCUCGCCAUCGCCGAGAUGGACGUGGAAGCCAUGGUGGUGUGGCGCGAACGCUUCCCGCAGGACAUCGUCGACGAGCGUCAGUUCUACAAGCAAAGGAGGACGGAGAGGGAGGCAAGGAGGACGGAGCGAGCCGCCUAUCGGGAGGACAAGCGUGCGCGGAAGCAGGCCGCUCAAUUGAAACUGAAGCUACGAGAAACGUCAGGGUGGUACUUCGAGGACAAGCAGUAUGCUGACGCCUACAUUCAGACGUCGGAGGAGGACAUUACCGAGUCAGAGUCGGAAAGCGACGACGAGUAGUUGGUCUUUUCUUUUAUCUGUGUACGCUAAAACUAUCUACGUAUCCUUGUUCUAUCGGAAAAAAUGGCCGGCGGCGUCGGCGACGAAGCAGGCGGCGACGGUGUGCUGUUGGAUGUGGAGAGGCCAAUGUGCCACCGACCAGCAGGCCCGGGGAGGAGAGAGGGCGAGCGCGCGCGCGUCCGCCUUGUGUCCCCGUCGACGCAAAUCCGGCUCAAAAAUGAACCGAGAAUGGGUCGGCAGGCGGACGAAAGCGGACGCGCGUCCGUUUGGGUCGGCGCGUUGGGCCGGUUUUUGUGUCCGCGCCGGUCCAAACAGACGGCGGCAGAUGAAAUGGGUCGCCCAUUAAAGUUGCUCUUACGGAUGUGAUCGCGUGUUGUGCUGUGCCGUCCGAUCUAUUUGGGCUAAAAGGGACACACCUGGACCUGAUGGGUCGUGCGUUUGAGUUAGCCUCACACAAACAAACAGAGCCAGGAGAGGAGUUUAGAGACGGGCACUUUGCAUGCACGGGAUCCGAACGGGACGACGACGGGGAGAAGGAGAUCGGUCGUAUCUGCGGUGGGAUUCGCUUCGGUUUCCAGGGCCGUCCCUUUCGCUGCGGCGGCAGCAUGCGCGCGCCCCGGCCGGCAGCCGCUUGCGGCAGCAGCAGCGUGCCUUGCGCUGUGGCACUGGCAGCGGCAUUGAUCAUGCCAUGCGCUCCCUUGGAUCGGUAGAUGCUCCUCACCUCAGCGUGUAGUAGUACUAGUAGUAUUACUAGAUACGUAGAUGCUGCUGGUGGGAGCUCUAGCUUGGUCCCACGGCCGGCAGACUGCCUAGCAAUGGAGGAAAGUAAAUCUACUGGUAGCAAUGAAAAACAGACGUCUGCACUAGCAGUUCGAGACUUGAGUCUCCAUAAUGAAGUCUUCAUAUUUUCUUUUGCUUUUGCUUGAAAUUAGAAGUUCUAAUUAUAUGCAGUCAAACAAAGAUUAAAGUAGAUUCAUGUCAAAAUAGAGAUUAAAGUAGAUUAAGAACAAACCACAUCCGAAAUACUUAAAAGUUCUCAUAAUAGGAGCCAAAAUUUAUCACAAAUUUGCAUAUAAUUUGUGACUUCAAAUGCCAUUAAGCGGCAUUUGUAAAAUACUAAUAAACAUAGGCAAUGUCGCUGUUCGACGUUGCUAGCUACUAGUCGAGGCCGUCGCCGGAGUCGAUCGUCUUGCUAGCUUUCCAACAACAAUCGAGUUUGCGCUGCCACGUGGCCUCCUCGGGAGGGAGGGGCGUUCCUCCGCUUCGCAGGAGGAAAGCUUGGGCACGACCGUGAUGGGGACAACGGGGACGACAACAUCCUCUUCGUCAGAGGAGUCAUACCAUCGGCAUGGCACAGGUGGGGAUCGUUGUGACAGGGACAAUGGCCUCCGAUCCAAGGUCACAUGCAUUGAGUCCAUAGGUAUGUAAAUACUAACAAAAGGGGAUGAGGUUGUGAUCAUGGACUAACUGCUCAAGUGCUUAGAGAUCAAGCUCCAAAAGCCUCAAUCAAACUCUCACAUCCCACUAUGUCCAAAACCCUAAGUCAAACUCGGUCUCACUGAUCCACUACAAUAUACGGACUCACCGAGUUAACCAAUGACAUAGUCAUUGGCUCAUUGCCUAAACCCCAAAAUUUGGUCUCACCGAAUUUGCCCUUCGAUCCCACCGAAGAGCACUAGCCAACCUUCUUUUGCCAACUGAAAUUCAGUCGGAAUUUCCGAUCGAUUUCAGUCGGUUACACCGAAGUAUGGAAAGUGCUUAGGUCAUCACAUCUUAGUCCCACCGAAUGGUUUCACCCGAUCUCACCGAAACGUCUAAAGUUCAAACAUUUUGUACAAGUUGGUCUCACCGAGUAGUUUCAACCGGUCCCACCGAACUGUGCAUCAAGGUUUGCCUCUAUAUAUCGCUACGAAUUCCACCAACUUUCAGAGAGCAACCAGAGCGAAGCAUACACUUCCCAUAUCCUUUUCAGAGAGAGAGAGAGAGAGAGAGAGAGAGAGAGAGAUCCUUGUUUUGAGAUAUAAGGGAUUCCACUCGAAGCAAAUAAGAAACAAAUAUAUGUUUUCCAUCCUUGUUUUCUAUGCCAGUUUUGAAACUAUGCCUAUUUAAGAAACAAAUAUAUGUUGCAUAAGAAGCAUGAAUAUAUGACCGGUUCAUGCAAAUGUGAACAAGAUAAAAAAAUAGAAAUACAUUCUAUAAUGCACAACAUUACAAAUAGUAAAAAAUUGCAAAAUGGGUGUGCCCCUUUAGUAAUGUGAUACUAAUUGAGUGGGACUGGGACGUAAAUAUGAAGAAAAAAUGAAGGUAUGUUAAAGAUGGGAAAGGCCAAUAUACAUAUUACAAUUAUGCUGACGAGUGAGAUCAAUGAGAAUGAAAAAUAAGAAACAUAUAUAGUAUAAUUUGGAAGCAUGGUAAACUCAAUAUUCAUUUAACACAUUAUGGAAAAAUGCGAGAAUAAGUAAAAUUUGGAAUCAACAUUGAGGAUCUUGGUAUGAAGCAAAGUUCAUUGAUAAUAGAUAAUAAACCAAGCUUGGCACUAACAAGCGGAUGCAUCUGUUGUGUCGCCAAUGUACACAUAGAAUUGAUUACCGGAUGAUUAAUGGGAGCAAUUUUUUAGCCAAACAGAAUGAUUACAAUGUAGAAACACCCUGAUGAGAAUCGAGAAAAAGUGUAUUGAAUACAUAGGUAUCUUCACUAUGAGAUUCAAUGAGAAUCAACAUGAGUCGAUCCGUCUGAUGAUUUGUUUCCAAUCAUACUAUGGAUCAAAUUUGUUUCCCUUUUUAUACAUGGAAACGAGAGAUAAAAUGGGGGAUCUGAUGAGGCGCUUUGGUUCCUGGGCUCGUAUGAGCCCUGGAGUGAAAAAACAAAUAGUUAAAAAUACGAAAUAAUUUUUUUUUAAAUCGAAUUUUUGAGUGGAGAAAGAUGACUGAGUGAUGUCCGUGUCAAAUUUCAGAGCAUUUGGAUGUCUGAGUAGCUCUCAGUAAAAAAGACAAAUUUAAGGUCUGUAAGAAAGUUUACUAAUUGUGCAUUGUUUGGACCUGAUUUGUUUUUUGUUGAAAGCUAUUGUGAUGUACACCUACUUUAAAAUUUGGCACGCAUCUCACGCACUAAAGUAUCUUCCAUGCAAAAGAAUAAGAUUUUUUUUAAAUUGUCAAGUAUAUUUUUUUUUUGAAUUUACCGUUCAUCGGCCGAUGAGCCAGACUUAGAAUUGGAUAUUCGGGGAUCCGAUCAAUCUCUCAUCUACAAGCAGUUUCUUUCUUGGAUGAAAAGCAGAAAAUGCAUCGCUUAAUUGGACUGGACUGUUGCGAGACAGAGUAGACCAAAACUCCAUUGAAGAGGGGGGGACCAUCACUUGAUGCCUUGUUCCUUGUUUCGGCCAUGCACCCGCUGUACUUGUAGGUCUGCACAUUUGGAUCCUGCCUUGCAGAAAAUGAUUGGAUCUAUAAUCCUACAGUAGAGUGACAUAACCGAGAGAAAAUGAUGAGAGAGAGAGAGAGAGAGUUUUUCAUGCAUGUCUCUCUCUCAGGGCUCACGCACAAACUUGCAGCCUUGUUGUAGCUAGUGGCCGGUACAACAAAGAAGCCUUCUUUCACCGCUUUCCUUUUUGUGUGGGGCAGCCGGGCGGGUGCCGUGUUUGUCAGCCUUGCUUGUAGCGGCCGGUACAAACACGCAUGCCUCUCAUGGCUCAAAAGAAGACAAAACAUGGAUAUUGUCAUGGGAUUCUCAAUGUGUAUUACGUACCAAUUCCGAUCUGAAAUUUUUAGGGUAUUUUCCCGGCCGACAUCACCCGGAAAGAUAUGGCUCCUCAUGCCAUCUCCACCGCACGACCCCAUUUUGUUCGGGUGUGUCCAUUUAGGGCAAAACGGACAAAUGACGCUACCCAACCGCAGACCCCAUUUUAUUUUUCUGUCCGUUCGACCCCAUUCGCGCCCAAACUUGCGAUGGCUUUGAGGUAAAAGCGGACACGAAACGGACGAGUUUGUGGCGUCCUCGUCCGCUGCGUGUCCGCCGGCCCAUGUGUCAGCCCCACCUCUCUCUCUCCUCCUUUUCUCUCUCCCCGCGUGACGAGCNNNNNNNNNNNNNNNNNNNNNNNNNNNNNNNNNNNNNNNNNNNNNNNNNNNNNNNNNNNNNNNNNNNNNNNNNNNNNNNNNNNNNNNNNNNNNNNNNNNNNNNNNNNNNNNNNNNNNNNNNNNNNNNNNNNNNNNNNNNNNNNNNNNNNNNNNNNNNNNNNNNNNNNNNNNNNNNNNNNNNNNNNNNNNNNNNNNNNNNNNNNNNNNNNNNNNNNNNNNNNNNNNNNNNNNNNNNNNNNNNNNNNNNNNNNNNNNNNNNNNNNNNNNNNNNNNNNNNNNNNNNNNNNNNNNNNNNNNNNNNNNNNNNNNNNNNNNNNNNNNNNNNNNNNNNNNNNNNNNNNNNNNNNNNNNNNNNNNNNNNNNNNNNNNNNNNNNNNNNNNNNNNNNNNNNNNNNNNNNNNNNNNNNNNNNNNNNNNNNNNNNNNNNNNNNNNNNNNNNNNNNNNNNNNNNNNNNNNNNNNNNNNNNNNNNNNNNNNNNNNNNNNNNNNNNNNNNNNNNNNNNNNNNNNNNNNNNNNNNNNNNNNNNNNNNNNNNNNNNNNNNNNNNNNNNNNNNNNNNNNNNNNNNNNNNNNNNNNNNNNNNNNNNNNNNNNNNNNNNNNNNNNNNNNNNNNNNNNNNNNNNNNNNNAGGCGGCGCAGGCUCUGGGGCGGCAGGCGCAUGGCCAGGGGCCGGGGCGUGGCGAGCGUACUGAAGACGGACAAUUUGGGGUCGUCUGCAGUGUUGGGCGCCUCAAACACAAACCGGACACACAUGUCCGUUUUCACACCCAUUGCCACCUCAAAGGGACAAAAUCCGACUAAAACGGACGUCCGUUUAGGGUCCGCAUGCUGUGGAGUUGGCCUCAUACUCAGACCGAUCAAUGCUGCUGCGGAUGGAUUCUGGUUGCGAUGCUACAGAAGUACUCUACUUACCAGAUUUGCCUACCGUCCUCUGUCAUCAUAUCUUCGUGGGUUGUCUUUUCUUUUCUUUACAGCUCCACGCACAAACUUGCACAAAGCCACACACAACGAGUGGUACGUAGAACCGGUACAAAACACAGAUCAGAAAGAAAAAGAAUCAUAAGAAAACAUGCUCUCGUGAUCGUGAUGGUUUCAAAGACGAUCAACUCGGGUGCAGCAUAUGCUGUUUGCAAUGCCCUAGGGAUGAUACUAGUACAUGGGAUCCAGGGAAAGAAAGCUACUUUUGCACACACACUGGCAGGGUCGAUCUGAUGGCCUGCGUUUCUCGCAGCUUGCUUUGCAACGGGGCCCCAAGAGGGUACAGGAGAUGAGAGGGUUAAAGGAACCGGGGUGAGUACUGGCACUGCUUUGCAUGCAGCCGGCCAGCACCAGCACAGCCUUAUCCACUGCCACAGCCCACAGAUUUGCCAUCAUCUCGAUCGAUCGCUGCCAUCAUCAGUUGCAGUUUACAGGUGGCGAUCUCUCUCGAGGACCACGCGUCCAUGCCCACCCAGAAUUCGGAAAUCCUACGACUGGAGUCUAGUGGAAGUAAUUAAUCAAAGGCUAGGCUAUGCACCAUACCACCCUUUCUGCAUUGCAGCACUAGAGAAAAUCUAGUAGUUGAGUAAUCUAAUUAGAGUCGCCAUCCUUCAUAUGGAGCACGCUCCAUAAUGUUUUCAAGGAGCGACCAGCCACCGACGAUGACGCUUCACAUAUGGAGCACACAUAAGAUGAACUUGGACUCGUGGAGAAGUGAUGACGAUGACGCCGAAUGGCAACUUCCACGGUGGUCUUCUCUUCUCUUUGGCGUGUGUGGGCUUCAUGUGGGUACUGGGUAGGCAGGUUGGCCUGUGUGGCCCGGUUAUCGGGGCGUUUGUGACGGUUUUCAUUCGUUUUUUCAUUAAUUAACCGGGAAAUAUCUCCUUCAAACUCAGAUAAAGCAAAUAUUUUGUGCACUCGCUUCAAAUUUGUAGGGCGGAUUUAAGUGACAUUUAGUCUAACCAAACACAUGUAUAUAUCAACACCACAACUUAAUUAACAACUAUAUUAGGGACCAAAAUUCAUCGCAUUACAUAUAUUCUGCUAUUUGAGACAUCGUUAAGCAAAAAACUCAGAAUAUGUAGUGUCGCUAUUUGACAUUCCUUUAGCUGCUACUACCACUGCUCCGCCGCCGCGGCCAUCUACUCAGCCUCGUCCGAUAGCUCGUUGAGGUUGGUGAAGUCGUCGUCUUCUUGCUCCUCCUUCGAGCGAUGAGUGUGAGCUGCUCUCCUCCUCGUUGGUGGUUAUGGGACCAAAGCGCUUGGCAAGGCGCUCCUUUUGGCGGCGGGCCGCCUCCACUUCGUGGGUGGAGAGCUCGAGCACAACCCUGACUGGGUCCUCGGGCUCGGGCUGGGCUUCGAGAAGGAUGGGGAUGAACGGGACGAGGGGGCAGCGAGAUCGUAUCAGGACCCCGUCGGUCGAGACAGCGGUAGAAAAAGGUGGAUUGAGCAAUCAAACGAAUGUUCGCCUCAACACUCUAUUGGAAGACGUAUGACUCUACUGCUCCAUCCAAAUUUAGCUCAAUUCAUCUUUUUUUGACCAAGGGUGAACUAAUCUUAUUUUUUUCCUCAUCUUUUAAUUUAAUUGCAAGUGAGUUUUCAACAAGUAAAAUUAUGCCUCUCAGCCUCUGCAUCCUAAGAUGCACACACCCAUCAUUUUAUCAAAUACUAACAAACAUGCUUGUGUGUUGUAACGGGACAAAAAGACACAUGCUCCUCGCAUAAUAAGCACGACUCAAGACCCCUCCACAGGUCCACCUCAUCUAUUUAACACAGGUCACAUCCGUGACGUCGCUUAUUCUCCUUCCAUCCUUCAUCGACCAUGGUCGCAAUGUUCAUCUGAUCAAAAUGCGUCCGAACGUGGCCAAUCCUAAGUGAUGAUCUCGGCCACCAACGAAACCGUAAACACACACCUGCCAUUGAAUCACACCAUCACAGGUGAAUGUCUGAUACUUUUAAAAUUAAUCUCGUCAAGCUGGACGUGAUGGCCGUCCUUCCCGUGCUACGGCCCACACCUAGUUCAUACACCAUCCUUCAUACAUCAACAUUCUUCUUAAAAUACAUAAAUACUUUUUAAAUACGUGGGCUUUUUUUAAAGAGCAUGACUAUUUUAAAAUUACGAAGAAAAAAAUUAAGCAUGUGAACGCUUUUUAGAAUCACAUGAUUUAUUUUUGAGAAAAGGUAAACAAUUUUCAAAUUAUAUGAAUAUUAUUUUAAUAUGUGAGCACUUUUCUUAAAAGUACACAAACAUUUAAAAUGCACGAUUUAAAAAAAAUACAUUUCAUUUCUCAAAAGGCACAAACACAUAAAAUUAGAAUGUUGAAAAGGUAUUAAUUAGAUUUGGUGUAGCAAGUUAUCAGGUUACACAUCCAUGCGCCUAGUUUUUUCCUGCAUGACGACCGUUGCAUUGAACGAUUGUAUCAAUGAUUCGAAUUCGUUAGUCAGAAUAUAUGGGAUUAGUUUAAUAUUUUUGAAAAAAAAUAGCUGACCAGCUAGAAUAUUUUUCUCAAACACGUCUUGGAGCGUGUCAUUUUCAUCGCGGUCCUCUUUUAUCUACUUCUCCCUUCGUAAACUAAUAUAAAAGCAUUUAGAUUACCACUUUAGUAAUCUAAACGCUCUUAUAAUAGUUUACAGAGGGAGUACUUGGUUCAUCUUUUGUUUGGCGGUCCACGAUUCUCGUCUAGCUCAAGAAAUGUUGUCAAAAAUGUACUACAUGGAGUUUCCCUAAAACAAGGACAUGCAGAAAGUCAGAUACACACACCAUCUUGAUCUAGACGGGCAAAAGCUGGUCCCGAAGAGGGUCCAGAGCAGUGGUGCCAUCGGUGAGAACUGGCAGUGACACCGGCAUGCACUGCUUUGCAGUUUGCAAGCAGCCCAGCGACAGGCAGCCAGCACAGCCUGAUCCACACUGCCACAGACAGAUUCGCCAGCAGCAUCUUGAUCUGGGCGCCAUGAUCAGUUGCAGUUUGCAGGUGGCCAUCUCCCUCCCUCGACGACCACGCACGCACGCACGCACGCCCACGCAGAGCUUGGUGUAGGAUUGCACCAAGCCUAUGCCAUGAUCAAUUGCACCAACGAUCGAUAAACGGUACACUCACUCUAUGCCCGUGAGAGAUCAAUUGAGGCGCCUAUGUGAUGGGGAGGGACCAAGCAGCGGCAUGCACAUGCAGGCUGUAGCUGCAGGACACGUACAACGUCGUAGAUGCAUCGUAUCUGCGCUGGGAUGCGCUCCGGCGGUUUCCAUGGCCGUCCCUUUCCCUGCCGCGGCGGCAUGCGCGCGCCCCGGCCGGCAGCCGCUUGCGGCAGCGGCGCCGUGCCGCGCGCUGUGGCAUUGAUCAUGCCAUAGGCGCUGCGUGUGUGCUCGAUUCGACCGGUGCCUGCCUGCCUGCCACCGGAGAUGCUCCUCACCUCAGCGUGUAGUAGUAGAUAGAUGCUGCUACUCCGCUCUACGGCUCUAGCUUGGUCCCCCGGAGGAAAGUAAAUCUGCUUUUGUCUCUGGAGAGGUCGAAAGGGCUGGGUAAUUGACCUCUGUCUGCACUGGCAGUUCGAGACUUGAGUUGAGCUGCGUGUCUUUACUGUUCAUCACGUACGCUAGCGCACUGCAUGCAUGCUGUCUUCUCGGUAGCUUUUUUCUUUUUCUUUUUUGGGUGUGUGUGUUCAAACUCCACUAUCUCGUCUAGUUCCCCAGCUUAUCCAAGGACUACUAGUUACGUGGUGUAGAUUAGAUUAGACUGCCACCUGAGCACCUUGGCACACGGCAAAUUAAGCUAGACGUACGUGUAGGGAAAGGAAACAAAAAAAACUGCAGUAAAUACGAGACCGAAAUGUGGAUGCAGGUAAGAUGGCAUGCGGCGUGGCAGUUAGGCCGCUGGACCAAAUAUGGCUUCAUAUGCGCCGGCCCCUGCUGCUGGAUCGAGGUUUUAUGGGCGUUGUACGUCGCUGGUGUGGAUGUGAUACUUGCGGCCAUGGCACAGGCAGAAAACAGACACUCAUGAGAGGCGUUGAUGCUCAGUGGCUCUCGGCAGGCUAGAGGACUCGAGAUCAAGAGGCCCGCAGGAAAAUCUUUCCCAGAAGAAGAAGCUGAAUCCAUUCACCUUGAAUACGACGGUAGUUCCCGCGCGCAAAGUCGUGGUACGUCCAUCAGACGCCCUACAUUUGGAGACAGCGCAAUGGCUUUUGUCUGAUAACCGGAAGAUUUGGAGACAGCGUAAUGGGCGUGUCUUUCGCAACAGGUUAGACAAAGCAAUGGGAGCAUUUUUUCCAUGUCUUGUAAUUAACUCACUUUCUACUAUAAAGCUAUGGUGCACAAUUUCUGUACUCUCGGAAAAAAAUCUGAUAGCUCUACGACUUGCACAGUGCAUCAUGUUUUCUUUAAAAACACAUACAUGUAACUUUAUUCAAACAAAGAAAAUAAUUACAUGUACAAAGCUUUGGAUUGAAGAUCCAAGAAAUUACAAAGUAACUUUUAUAACUAAGAGUUGCAAUAAAAUCCCUUAGACACACAUUCUUUGCGGUAAUAUUUGUUGAAAGACAAAAUUCUCCGAAGCCUUCAAGAAAGACAUUGUAAUAAGACCGGAGUGGCGACACUGCUACUUGUACAUCUGCAAGAACGUGAUUACGGAUAAAGUUCUCACGGAGCCUAUGGAUUCGCACAGCCAGAAAGAUGGGAAGCCAUAAACGGUCAACAUACUUGGGAUAGAGAUUAUCCCCUAGAUGUGCAGACUGUCGAACUGCAAGAUCUUCACCGUAAUAACAAUGAAAGACUCCAACUAAACAAAAAUUCAAACCAACCAAAGUGCCAAGACAGUUUGACAAAAAAGCAAUAGGUCUGUAAGAUUGGCCGUCCGAGGAGAUAAACCUAAGCACUACAAGAACAAUUGCAUCGAACCUGCAGAGGAAACAUACACUCUAUAACAUCUCUUGAAAAAGCAUUGUCGCAACGAAAAAAAACUCACAGGAAAGCUUCCAAAAUCAUCUAAACCGAUCAAUAGAAGCUCCCCAAAACCGGUCUACGAGAUGGCCUACAAUGGCGAGCCACUAAGGCCCAGUAGACCAUGAAGUUCGUGAGUUUGUAAAAAGUUUGCAAAAAAAAUCACGAAUUUGAGAAGAAUUUCAGGAAUUUGAAAACUUCAUGAAUUUGAAAAAAAAAUAGUGAAAUUAGAAAAGGUUCAUAAACUUAAAACAAAUUUCCGAAUAUCAAAAAGUUUGAUUUUCUUGAAAAUCUUCAUGACAUUUGACAAAAUUUCAUGAAAAGGAAAAAGUUCAUAGAUUUUUUUUCAGAAAAAUGUUCAUGGAUUUAAGAAAGGUUCAUCGAUUUUGAAAAAAACAAGUUCAUGAAAUAGAGUUAGUUCACUUAUUUAGAAAAAUAAUCAUAAAAACUAACGUAGUUCAUCGAUUUUCUAAAACCUAGUGCAUUUAAAAAAUCAUGGAUUUAAAAAGUUUGCGAUUUUUUUUUGAAGAAUUGGAAAUUCAAGGAUUUAAGAAAACUUCAUGAUUUUAAAAAGAUUAACAAAGUUAAAAUGGAGAAGAAAAUGAAAAGUUUUCCCGAAGAAAAAAAAUAAAACAAAAGAAAAAUGCCAAAAAACCAUUUGGUGGAGGCGCAUUCGACGAACACCAAGAAAAAAACAAUAAAUAUGAACAGCCGUAGGCUCUCGCAGUUGGUUUCUGUGUGUGGUACUACACCGGCAGGUCGGGUAUUUAAAUCUCUUGCGCGCACCCAUUUCUGAAGGUUAACAAAAAGGAAAAAGAAGCAAGCGUGCCGAGUCUAGGGAGGAGGUAUGUUUGCGCCGGUGUGUACAAUGGGCUAUUACCGGUGCCCGGGCUAUCUCUCGCCUGUACUGAUUGCUGUUAGGAAUCGCCUACUGGAGAUGAUAAGCUGGCCGGCCGAUUAACUCUGCUAUGAUCAUUGCCUCCGGGCCGCUUCGCUGGUUCGCACUACACCGUUUUAUUCGGCUUUUUUUCUUUUUCGUUUUUUUCGUAUUUUCUUUGGCUUUUUUUUCCGACGGGUUUUCUUUUCUUUCUUCGUAAUACUUUGGCCUUUUUUCACUGUUUUUUUGGGGUUCUUAACUUUCUCGUCAACUCUGGUUUUUUGCUAUUUUUUUGUUUUCUUCGGUUUUCUUUUACAUUACUUUUUGUUUCAUUAUCAGGUUUUACUGGUUUUUUCUUUAUUUAUUUUUCAUAGAUUUUAUUUUGGGGUUUUUAACACAUUUUUACAUUAUUUUUGUACUCAUCAAAAAUUUACCAAAUACUCCCUCUGAUCCAAAAAAUGUGUCAUGGCUUUAGUUCAAAUUCGAAAUAAAGCCAAAAUACUUUUUUGAUAGGCGGGAGUACAUUAUUAACAUUUUUGCAAUAUAUAAAUUUUAAUGUCUACAUUUUAUGCAAUUUUCCAUUUUUCAUAGAUCUAAAACAUUUUUUGUAUAUGUUUAACAUAUUUAAAUACGUGAUUGUACAUUUUCUUAAAUAUUUAUUCUGAACUUUUUUCGAGUAGGUGUUAAUGUUUUUCCAAAUAAUCCUUGUAAUUGUUUAUAUCAUUUUCAACUAUGCAAACAUUUUCCCAGAUUUUUCAAAAUAUUGUUUCCAAAAUGUCACGAUCACAUUUUUGUGAACCUAUUAUGCUCUGCGCGAUGCACUACUGAACUGGUCCGUUAAUUUCUACAGACGUUAAUUCUCUUGUUAUGCUUCUUUCAUUUCGUUUCUUUUUAUUUUUUCCUUAUUUCCCACUUUUGCUAGUAUUCCCCACAAAAUAUAUUAAUUUUAAAAAAUACAUUUCGUAAAUUUUUGAAAGCAUAAAUAAAUGUUUGUGACUUUUACAAAAUGUUCACUUGCUUUCAAAAAAUGUUUGGUAAGUUUUGCAUUUAUACGGUUUGUGUAAUAUAAAUAAUAUAUUUUUCACAGUCAAAAAUGUGUUCAUGUUUCAAAAAAGCUCGUGUACAUUGAAAAACGUUGCUAUGAUAUAGAUAAUCGAUCGCAGUAUUUUAAACAAAUGUUUCAUAAAAUUAAAAAAAUUGAUCACAUUUAUAAACAAUUGUUCAGGUGUGUCAAAAAUAUUUUCAUGGAAUUUUAGGAAAACGUUUGUAUAAUGUUAUUGAUGUAGUUUAAAUAAAAAAUUUCAUGCCAUUAAAAAAAUGUUCAAUGCGUAUUUAGAAAUGUUUAAUAUUUAUUUGAAGAGAAAUGUUGAAAUAUGUACAUGAAAAAAAUGUUCAUUCGAGAAAUGUUCAACGUAUAUCAAAACAAUGUUACACAUGUAUAUGAAAAUGUACAACGUGUAUUGAUAACAAUUGUCAUGUAUUUGGAAAUAAAGAAAUAAAGGGAAUACAACAAACAAAAAGAGAAAAGAAAACGAAUGGAACAUUGUAAAAUCAGGCAAAACCUGUCUAUACAACGUUCCCUAAACUUCAUUGAUGGCCCGGCUAACUAAGGUGAGGUUGCCCCAGCGCUAGGGGCAAGGCAAGGAUAGGUCUCGCAAUAGGCGAGAAAUGUGGGCGCCCUAUGUCUUGAUUAUAGCGAGACGAAAGGAACCCCCCUGUCAAGGGUUCCAGGUACGUUGGAGGCCACGACCCCAUUUUUUUUUAUCGUUUCUUGCUUUCUUUAUUGUUCUCCUUUAUAUAUUUUGAUUAUACUUCCUACUAUUCUACAUGAAAUAUAUUCUAAAAAAGCUUUUCAUAAAAAAAUGGAAAAAAUAUGUUAACCAAUCGUUUGAAAAAUGUCGAAUGUGUAUAGAGAAAAAUGUUUCUCAUGUAUAAAAAAAAUAUACAAUGUGUGUGAAAAAAGAUGAUUGUGUGUUUUAUUUUAUUAAUAAAUCAUUGGAAAAAAUCAAAACUAUUUGAACUAUGUUAAUCGAGCAUUUGACAGAAAUGUUAUAUGUUAAUUGAACAAAUGUUUAAAAUGUAUGAAAGAUGUUAAUCUUGCAUUUUAAAAACAUUACCCAAGGUUUUAAAAAAUGUUAAAUUUUUGUAAAAAAAGUUGAGCAAGUAAUUGAAAACCUUUAGUCUUGUAUUUACAAAAUGUUAAUCAAGCAUUAGAGAAAUGUUAAAAAUGUGACAGAGAAAAUAUUGAUCUUAUGUUAAAAAAUGUUAAGCUUCUACUUCAAUAAUGCUAUAAAUGUUUUAGAAAAAAGUAUUUGAUAUAUACCAAUAAUGUACAAUGCGUAUGGGAAAAAGUAAACAUUGGAAAAAUAUAAGUACACAAAAAAUGUUAAACAUGUAUUUCAAAAAUCGUAACUGUGUAUAAAAAAUGUUUUAGAUGUAUACAAAAAAUAUUGAAUGUGUACCAAAAGAGUUAACUUGUGUUGAACCAAAAACAAAUGGAUUAAAAUGACAGAAAAAAAAUAAAAAUUAAGAAAACCCAAAACCAAUAAUAAAACAAAAGAAAGUAAAUUAAAAGCCCAAAAAAAUAAUUCAAAAGAAUGGAAAUAGAGAAAACCAAGAAAGAAACAAAGAAAACCAAGAAAUAAAUAAAAGAAAAACAGAAAAAGAAAGAAACUAAAGCAAAAAAGCCACUGAAAACCGAGAAAGAAAGAAAUAAAAACAAAAGCCACUAAAUAGAGAAUGAAAGAAACAUAGAAUACCGAUCGAAAAGCUAAGAAAACAAAAAACGCAAAGAAACAAUGAAAACAAAAAUAAAAAUGAAAAAAUAACACAAAAAACCAAGUGAGAAUCAGCGAACUCAGCGAAAAAGAAACAAAAUCCAGCGAAGGGAAAAAGGAUGAAAAUGGGCCAGUCCAGUAGCUACAACCCGAGGGUAAAACCUUCAACGAGACCUAUGUUAGACUCGCUAUAAAUGAGACAUAACAUCUGCGGAGAAUAGAACUGGAUUGCCACACAGAGACAUCAUUCAUUGAUAAUAAGUUCUCAUGGGCCAAAUUCGGUUGAGUACACAGAUUACUAUUGCGUCUGGCUCUUCCGUGGGUCGGGUCGUCAGCCUGGCAAUUAUGGCCCGUACUCCAAAUUCUAGGGCCCAUCACUACACAGAUUACUAUUACCAAAAAAAGGGUUUCCCCGCUUUGUAUUUCAAAGCAACCAACACCGAUACAGGAUCGCUGGGGCGAACAGCACAACAAGCCCAAAAGAAAAGAAGAAGAAGCAAAUGCCAACAACGCCAGCUCGACAAAGCGCGGAUGACCCGCCACCGCUACGUCCACCAGAGACAAACCACUACAACCCGAGGCUCCGGACCACCGCGUACAAAAUAGCACCUCCAAGAAGGAAAGCGACGCCGACGACGCUGUUGCCCGGACAUGUCCUAGGGUUUCCCCGGCACGCGAAGGGAGGGGGAUGGAUAUCACCGACACCCUCCAGGAAGGAAUGGUGGCACCUGCAGGUGUCACCGCAUCGGGGCCGAAGACCGGCAAGGAUUUCUCCCAUACUCCAAUCCCCACCACCCAACGGACCAAAGCCGACCAGCCAGACCGCCGCCCACCACCAUGCGCCAUCGCGGUUGCGCCGUCGCCCACGCCGUCUCACUGCGAACACCAACACGAGGCCAAGAGGACCGGAGAGAAGCGCCCCGCGGAGGAAGAAGCAGCACCGAAGCCGAACAGGAGGGAACCACCUCCACCGCCGUCGUGCGGGAGGCCGGAGCCUCCGGCACCGUCGCGGUAGCCGUCCGGACGCGGCAGCAGGGCAUGCCAGGCCACCCCUGGCCCGGCCAGGCCCGACACGGGCCCGCUAAGCCCCGCCGCCACGCUGCAGCAAGCCGGCGAUGGUGCCGCCAGCACCCUGCCGCUCAUCGCCUCUCCCCCGCCUCCCGGAAGCCACGAAGCAGACCCACCCCGCCACCGGCCCGCCCAGGCCCAGAUGGGGCCNNNNNNNNNNNNNNNNNNNNNNNNNNNNNNNNNNNNNNNNNNNNNNNNNNNNNNNNNNNNNNNNNNNNNNNNNNNNNNNNNNNNNNNNNNNNNNNNNNNNNNNNNNNNNNNNNNNNNNNNNNNNNNNNNNNNNNNNNNNNNNNNNNNNNNNNNNNNNNNNNNNNNNNNNNNNNNNNNNNNNNNNNNNNNNNNNNNNNNNNNNNNNNNNNNNNNNNNNNNNNNNNNNNNNNNNNNNNNNNNNNNNNNNNNNNNNNNNNNNNNNNNNNNNNNNNNNNNNNNNNNNNNNNNNNNNNNNNNNNNNNNNNNNNNNNNNNNNNNNNNNNNNNNNNNNNNNNNNNNNNNNNNNNNNNNNNNNNNNNNNNNNNNNNNNNNNNNNNNNNNNNNNNNNNNNNNNNNNNNNNNNNNNNNNNNNNNNNNNNNNNNNNNNNNNNNNNNNNNNNNNNNNNNNNNNNNCCCGCAGCGGGCGCCGGCGACGGCGACAGAGAGGAAGUGGGAGAGAGAGGCGCGCGGAGGAGAAGGCUGGGCGCGGCCGGCCGCCCGCGGGGGCGGCGCCGUCGCGGGAGAGGAGAGGAGGGGGGUCCAACCGACCAAAGGCCUCUCUUCUCUUCGUUCACACAGAUUACUAUUGCGUCUGGCUCUUCCGUGGGUCGGGUCGUCAGCCUGGCAAUUAUGGCCCGUACUCCAAAUUCUAGGGCCCAUCACUGCAUGAGACGCCUCCUUCAAAAACCUGAAGAGGAAGCUCCUAACCGCCAGCACCAGUUAGGAGAAAGGCGCCCGCGCGACAUUUGAUCGACAAGCUAAUCAUAUUUAUGUGAUAUAUGUGGGUUUUCUUCGGUUUAUUCCCUGGUAAGACGUGGUGAGAUGUUAAAUCGAUCAGAUGCAUUGUUAGUGGGGAGUGUUCCGUCGUGCAUGACGACCUUUGUAUUGAACGAUCAUGGCAAUGAUUCGACAUUCGUUAGUCGGAAUGUAUGGAAUUAGUUUAAUAUUUUUGAAAAAAAAUAGCUGACUAGAAUAUUUUUCUCAAACACGCCUUCGAGUGUGUCAUUUUCGUCGCGGUCCUCUUUUAUCUACUACUUCGUGCAUCUUUUGUUUGGAGCUCCAUGAUUCUCGUCCAGCUCAAGAAACGCUAUCAAAAAUGUACAUGUGGUUUCCCUAGAAAAAGGUCCUGCAGAAAGCCAGAUACACACACCGACCAGAACCAAUACUCCCUUCAUCCAUAUAUAUGGGGCCUAAUAAUGCGUUUUUUGGGAUCGUCAUUGACUAUUGAUAGGGUUAAUAGUAUAUGAGAUGUAUAAUAUGAAGAUUAUAUUAUUAGAAACUCCGACUACUAGGGAAAACCUUAUACAGAGAACAUUACCAAUAGCGCGGGCUAAAAACACACGCUGGUGCUAAUUAGCAGCAGCGCGGUGUUGUAAACGGCGCUACAGAUAUAGUUAUAGCAGUAGCGCGCCCGAGUACAAAAGCGCUACUACUAAAAUUCCCACGGCUUAGCCGAUAGGCUGCACAUAGUAGUAGCAGCGCGUUUACGCUAAGAGGCGCUGCUGCUAAAGUAAAUAAAAUUAAAUGGAAAACAAAUAGAAAAGUAAAUGAAAAUGAAAGAAAUACAAAAAGGUGAAAGGAAAAAAAUUAUAUGUAAAGAAAAAUAAAUGAAAAAGGGGGGGAAAGAGAAUGGUAUAGCAGUAGCGCGUAUCUAGGAACGCGCUGUAGCUAUGUUAGCAGUAGCGGACUUCCUGGAACGCGCUACUGCUACUUCUGACUAAACCACUCGAUUCGUUUUUCCAAACGGCCACUUCCCCCAAAUCGCAACUCCUCCGCUGUCGCCGCCACCGUCGCCCGUCGGCAGCCGCGCGCUCUCCCGUUGCUCUCCCGCCUCAACGCCGCCCCCGACCCCGGAUUCGACGCCGCCCCCGACCCCGACCUCGACGCCGCCCCCGACCCCGACCUCGACGCCGCCCUCCGCGUGCCCCUCCCUCGCCGCAGUCACCGUAAGGCUCUGCCUCUCCUCUCCCCUACCCUCCUCUCUCUCUCUCUGCUAGGGCAAUUUAUAUAUGUGUUGAUGUUGUGUUGAUGUUCAUAUGAACCCUAGGUGUUCAUAUGAACCCUAGAUUUGUUUAGGGCAGUAGGCAUUUUUUAGCAUUUAGGAAAAAUGAUUAGCAAUUUUUUUAAGAAAUUAGCUAGGGCAAAUUUUUAUGAAAAUGCCUAAACAGUAAUUUCAUUUGCAUAUUGUUGUUAUAUGAUAUAUGUUAUUGAUGUUCAUUUGCAUAUUCCAUUAUUGAAGUGGUUCGAUUGUGCCCAAGUGGCUUUGUUGUUUCCAGGAAAUGAAGCCGAGUGGCCUAUGUUUUGCCGGAAUGUUGAUUAAUUUCCGUUCCAGCAAAUUUCAGGUUCUCGAUUUGUCCACUUUUUAGUAAAAGUCAUGCCGAAAUUUUCCGUGAAUUUCGGCAUGACUUGUGCUACAAACUAGGACAUAUCGAGUGCCCGGGAUUUGCCGCACCGGGAAGGAGUCAACGUUCCUGCAAAGCAUAGGCCUUUUUUAUGUCAUUAUUCAUUUUAUUAGGUAUAGAAUUAAUUGACUAGAUUUAAUCGUAAGAACUAGUUGAAUUAAUAGAACUAGUUGAACAUGUCACAUUUGUUGUUAUUUUUUUAGUUAAAGCAAUUUUUCGCGCAUCAACGUCGACGAUGCCUAUCCCGCAUCCUCGUCGUCGAGUCGGCGGAGGACACCUGCGUCACCAGAUGGGCCAUGUCCGGGACUGGGCUCCGCCGGGGUGGUACUGGGAGGCGCUACCUACCGGGAGGGCGCAUGUUGGUGAGGAGCCAGCCUGUCGUUGAUCCGAACCUUCUUUGGUGGCGGUCGCGUGGGCCAGUGACGGUCCAGAGGCUCGAGGACCCCGCGGAGGUGGUGCGUCACCGUGUCAUUGAGGAGGACGCGCACGUCCGUCGCUACUUGUUUGCGUUGGAGCACAGGUUCUCCAAUACCUGGCAGGUUCUUCAGGGAUCUCACUGGAGCUAUGAUCCUGUGAUGGUUCCUUCUCUUUGGAUGUCCACCGCCCGCGCCGAUACCCGUCGUGCGCUAGGGUUUUAGUUGUAUUAGUGAUGUUAUAUGUAUGAUAUUAUUCGGGAUGUAUUAGUGAUAAUAUUCGACGAUGUACGGACGCAUGAGAUGAUUUACUUUUGCUUAUUGAAUGCAUGCUAAUUUGAAUACUUAUUUAUUUUACGAUUUGGUUUUGCUUAUUGAAUGCUCAUGUCAAUAUGAGUCCUAUAAGAUAUUUUGAGUAUCCUGGAGUUGUCUUCGAUCGAUUUUCAAUUAAUGUUUCAACUAUGAACAUAGGAAAUGUUUGACAACGAAAAGAAUUUCGGUAUUUGCAAAUACUGCAAAGACGAGCGCGGCCUGUGCGACGGAAUCUUCCUAGAUGAUGAUAGGCGCUUCAGCAUCAAGCUGGACGUGAACUUCGAAGUGGAUACAGUAAGUCACAACGACAAGUCUUUUUUCGUAAUUAAGCAUGACAUCUGCUUCAUUUGCUUCAACUUAUAAUUUAAUUUUUUACUAUUCUACUAGCGUAUCCCCUGUCAUGCAAGAGUUUUUGUUUUGGAUAAGAUAGGUUUUAGUCGUACUAUGGAGGCAAAGAAAGUUUACUUGAAGACCGAGCAUGGUUAUAUUUUUCACGCAAAAUUAUACAACGCAGACGACUAUACCUAUUUUGGAUGCAAAACUUGGCGAGCACUAUGCAAGACUUAUGCAUUUGAGCCUGAUAUGGUUAUCACCUUUGAUAUUUGUCCGGAAGAUGAUAUUGAAGGUAAUACCGACAUCUGGGUCGAUGUGCUGACGCCUCCAGUUAUACCAUUAUGUGAGUUUCUCAACCAUAUUUAUGUCUUUGAUAUUGUUUAUUCAAAAAUAGUUGACAACUAAUUUCUAUUGUCAGCUUAUUUCGGUUUAAGCAAACAUGUUCAGCGCUUGGUAGACAGGACCUACUACUGUCCCGGGGCUGAACUAAACUGCGAGGAGCUAAGUCAUUAUGUUUCAUGGCUUGAGGAUUUUGAUACUGUCAAGACAAAUUUUCUUCCCACACUUAGAAAUGUUAGUACUGAAAACGUGCGACCAAUAGUGUUGGUAAUGAACUACGGUCACAUCUAUUUAGGAAAGAUGAUAAGAUUUUUACUAUUUGUCCUUAGUGCAUCUUUUGCAUACAUUAUUUUUUAAGCUAAACUUCAUUGCUAAGUAUGUUACUAUACGAUGUUCUUCAAUAGGGACUCCCGAUGAAUGUUGUGCCUCAUGGGAUCGAGACUAAUGGUACAAUGAGUAUUGUUAGCUUAUGGCCAAGAUAUCCUACAAUGCACUUUAGUGCAUUCAAGAUUUCUAAGAGCGAGGAAGUCUUAAUAGCAAAAGACUGGACCAAAUUUGUGAUGGAGGAGCGCAGAGAAGUACUAGGGGGCAGCAAUCAGAAGCGCAACCCACGAUUAGGAGACAGGUUCAUCUGCAUGCUCCAACUUGAUGAAGGAGGAGAGCUACACAUGUUUUAUAUUAUUUUACCUGAGAAAGAGCAGCAGGAGUGAUUAGCUAGCUAGAAAUGAGUUUGAAGAUGAUGAUGUGCUACACUAUGACUAUGAUGAUUAAAUAGCUAGUGUUGGUGGUAAUGACUAUGAUGAUUAUUAUUAGCUAGUGUUGGUGGUGAUUAGAUAGCUACCGCAUCUAGUGUUGGUGGUGAUUAGCUAGCUAGAAUGACUUUGAAGAUGAUGAUGUGCUACACUAUGACUAUGGUGAUUAAAUAAAUACUGUUGGUGAUAAUGACUAUGAUAAUGAUUAAAUAGCUUGUGUUGGCGGAUUAGAUUCAAGUGGAGGCAACAUGUGGUGCACAUCGAAAGUACUACUGGUCCAAACUAGAUCAAAUUUGGAUUAGUAGUAUACUUUUGACAUACACCACAUAUUGCCUCCACUUAAACCUAAUCCACCUUCAUUUGACACACUGCUAUGGACAUAAUGAUAUAAACCUCAUAAUUGGUAUUGUACCAAAAUUUGUAUAACGGCGUAUAAAUACACUAGAAAUGAAAAAAAGAGUACUAGUAGCGAUGGAUAGUAAACACGCUACAACUAGCUGGAUUAGCAGCAGCGCGGGAUAGAACAAGCGCUGCCGCUAUGUGUCUUAGCAGUAGCGCUUGUCGCACGCACUACUGAUAAGUAAUAGCUGUAGCGCCUUAUUGGUAGCGCGGCUACCCGCGCUACUAGUGGGCAUUAAACCCGCGCUACUACUGGGGUUUUCCCUAGUAGUGUCAUUUCACGUACUCCCUCCGUUCUAAAAUAGAUGACUCAAUUUUGUACUAAUUUUAAUAUAAAGUUAGUAUAAAGUUGGAUCAUCUAUUUUGAAACGGAGGGAGUACGAAUUUGAAGGUAUGCUUUGUGUAAUUAACUUGCAUGUUAUAUAUAAUUGCUCUAAUACGUGGUUAAAGUUGGCCUUAAAAGACGCAUCAGACCCUAUAUAUAUAUAUAUGGAUAGAGAUAGAGGGAGUACAAAACUUCCUCCCGUGUUGCAAAGAUGAUCGACUGCAGCGUAUGCUCUUCGCAAGGCCCUAGGCGAUGAUGAAGGAUGAUAGCUGGUAGUGUAGGAGUAGGAUCCAUGGCAAAGUGUAGCCAAUGCUACUUUCGCGCACUGGCCGGAUUGAUCCGAUCGCCUGCGUUUGUCGCAGCUUGCUACGGGCAAAAGCUGGUCCCGAAAAGGGUUCAAAGCAGUGGGUGCCAUCGGCGAGAACUGGCAGUGACACCGGCAUGCACUGCUUUGCAGUUUUCAAGCAGCCCAGCGACAGGUAGCCAGCACGGCCUGAUCCACACUGCUGCCACAGAUUCGCCAGCGUCUCGAUCUCGGCGCCAUGAUCAGUUGCAGUUUGCAGGUGGCCAUCUCUUUGGAAGACCACGCACGCCCACGCAGAACUAGGUGUAAGAUUGCACCAAGCCCUAUGUCCGUGAGAAAAAGAAGAGGUAAUAGCACCAGCAGUCCUUAAACUUGUCCAGGAUGUGAUGAUCUAGUCCAAAACUAGCAAAAGCCAACUAUUGCAUCCCAUAACUUGCACCCAAUGUGCAAAUUUAGUCCUAGCCAAUCAGACGACGACAAGUGGAGCCUAGUCAGCAGAGCCGGUCAGCGCAUCACAUUUUGCAAUUACCCCCCUGGCCUAUUCACUAACCAGCACGUUUACAGUUUUGUACUCAUGUUGGCCUGCGCUGUGCUGCAAAAACGGCCAUGCGAAAGUAAUAAUUGCAGCAUUCUUUCGAGCAACUGGAUUCAGUCAGGUACACAAUCCCUGGGAUCAUAUGCUUGUCAUCAGGCCAAAGGACGGGUCCUUUUGAGCGCCUCCCAAAUUUUUUGUUAAUAGAUAUCACUAGAAGAUGUAGUGAAAGGCCCUUAUCCUAAUGCUCCUUUUUUUGUAAGCGGAGAGAAUUGUAUCAGUGAAUGAGAAUUCUUUCUUUGUAUAUGCAAAGAUACGGUUAAUUGUUUCAAAGAAACCUGUCUUGUUUGACAUAGUUUUCUG
rnacentral:lncRNA from 1 species